GGAUAACCCNGGGAAACUGGGGAUAAUACCGGAUAACGCAUANNNGCUGGAAUGCUUUAUGCGUAAAAUGGAUUUGUCUGCCCAAGGAUGGGNNNGCGGCCUAUCAGGUAGUAGUGGGUGUAAUGUACCUACUAGCCUACGACGGGUACGGGUUGUGAGAGCAAGAGCCCGGAGAUGGAUUCUGAGACAUGAAUCCAGGCCCUACGGGGCGCAGCAGGCGCGAAAACUUUACAAUGCGGGAAACCGUGAUAAGGGGACACCGAGUGCCAGCAUCAUAUGUUGGCUGUCCAGAUGUGUAAAAUACAUCUGUUAGCAAGGGCCGGGCAAGACCGGUGCCAGCCGCCGCGGUAACACCGGCGGCCCGAGUGGUGAUCGUGAUUAUUGGGUCUAAAGGGUCCGUAGCCGGUUUGGUCAGUCCUCCGGGAAAUCUGACGGCUCAACCGUUAGGCUUUCGGUGGAUACUGCCAGACUUGGAACCGGGAGAGGUAAGAGGUACUACAGGGGUAGGAGUGAAAUCUUGUAAUCCCUGUGAGACCACCUGUGGCGAAGGCGUCUUACCAGAACGGGUUCGACGGUGAGGGACGAAAGCUGGGGGCACGAACCGGAUUAGAUACCCGGGUAGUCCCAGCCGUAAACGAUGCUCGCUAGGUGUCAGGCAUGGCGCGACCGUGUCUGGUGCCGCAGGGAAGCCGUGAAGCGAGCCACCUGGGAAGUACGGCCGCAAGGCUGAAACUUAAAGGAAUUGGCGGGGGAGCAAGGCUGAAACUUAAA
rnacentral:rRNA from 1 species